rnacentral:rRNA from 1 species
UGACAGAACUGUGGGGACACGUAAGGAAAGCGGAAGCCGGGAAUGGAAAGCCCGGUGCAAGCGGGGUACCAGCCACUUUGGCAAAUCCGGGUGGCAAUGGGAAGCCGUGAUGCGGAGCGAAAUAAAGUAGCGAAGUCCGUGAGCCAUGCGUCAAGAAAAGCCGCUAUCGUUUAUACCGUACCCGUACCGUAAACCGACACAGGUGGAUGAGGAGAGAAUCCUAAGGCCGGCGGAAGAAGCAUUGUCAAGGAACUCGGCAAAAUGGCCCCGUAACUUAGGGAUAAGGGGUGCCUGGAAACCAGGCCGCAGAGAAUAGGCUCAAGCAACUGUUUAGCAAAAACACAGGUCUAUGCGAAACCGAAAGGUGAGGUAUAUGGGCUGACGCCUGCCCGGUGCUGGAAGGUUAAGAGGAUAGGUUAGCGGUAACGCGAAGCUUUGAAUUUAAGCCCCAGUAAACGGCGGCCGUAACGAUAACGGUCCUAAGGUAGCGAAAUUCCUUGUCGGGUAAGUUCCGACCCGCACGAAAGGCGUAAUGAUUUGAGCGCUGUCUCGACAAUGCAUCGGUGAAAUUGAAGUACCAGUGAAGAUGCUGGUUACCUGCGCCAGGACGGAAAGACCCCAUGGAGCUUUACUCCAGUCUGGUACUGGGACUCGGUAUUGCAUGUACAGGAUAGGUGGGAGGCUGAGAAGUGGUAACGCCAGUUGCCAUGGAGCCGCUGUUGGGAUACCACCCUUGCAGUAUUGGGUUUCUAACCAGCCGCCGUGACCCGGCGGUGGGACAAUGCCAGACGGGGAGUUUGACUGGGGCGGUCGCCUCCGAAAGGGUAUCGGAGGCGCCCAAAGGUUCCCUCAGAAUGGACGGAAACCAUUCGAAGAGUGCAAAGGCAGAAGGGAGCUUGACUGCGACACCGACGGGUGGAGCAGGUACGAAAGUAGGGCUUAGUGAUCCGGUGGUAUUAAGUGGGAAUGCCAUCGCUCAACGGAUAAAAGCUACCCUGGGAUAACAGGCUUAUCACUCCCAAGAGUUCACAUCGACGGAGUGGUUUGGCACCUCGAUGUCGGCUCAUCGCAUCCUGGGGCUGUAGUAGGUCCCAAGGGUUGGGCUGUUCGCCCAUUAAAGCGGUACGCGAGCUGGGUUCAGAACGUCGUGAGACAGUUCGGUCCCUAUCCGGCGUGGGCGUAGGAUAUCUGAGAGGAGCUGUCCUUAGUACGAGAGGACCGGGAUGGACGGGCCGCUGGUGCAUCGGUUAGACUGCCAAGUCUACGGCCGAGUAGCCAAGCCCGGAAGGGAUAAACGCUGAAGGCAUCUAAGCGUGAAGCCCCCCUUAAGAUGAGAUAUCCCAUUCGAAAGAAGUAAACCCCCUUGAAGACGACGAGGUAGAUAGGGCAGAGGUGGAAGUGCAGCAAUGCAUGGAGCUGACUGUUACUAAUCGGGUGAGGGCUUGACC